rnacentral:lncRNA from 1 species
AGCCUGGCGACAGAGUGAGACUCCAUCUGAAAAAAUAAGUAAAUAAAUAAAUAAAAAGGCAUUCGGAAUCCAGAGACAUGGAUUCUAAUCUCGACCUUGAACUCGGGUAAAAAAUGUUGAUAAUAGUAUCUCCUGGGCAGGACCAUUGUGAAGGUCAUGGAAAUAUGAUGGAAUUUAAAGCAGUAUUGAGAAAUUAUUUUUUCCCACUUCACUUUAGGUUACUCAAAUGGCACCAAUGUGCUAAUUAAGGAGCUAUGAUUUGAAAUCCCAGUUAGGUCCUGGCUUAUGAACAUAACCUUUUCAGCUUCCCGCAUUGCUUUGGAAUUCUUGUGUCCCAACACUCCCCUAGACACUCCCAGAAUGUGAGCUUACCCUGGCAAGGUACCAAGGGAUGGGCCAUUUGUUUAUCAGCGUUGCCUGGUACUGGCAAGGGUCAUUGAAGGUGGGAUACAAUUAUAGGCUUGCCCGUCACUCGGCCCUGUUUGUAACCUGGGUCACAAUCUCCAUCAUACCACCUGGCACGACUCUCUGGGCCAGUCCCUGAGAUGACUAUGUUGUCAAAGACAAAUCGUGGGUCAAGAUUGAAAUGGGGGACAGUCUGGAAUUUACGAGGAUGAGAUAGAAUGGACAGCCCUGUGACAUCAACUUGGAAGAGGUUGGACUCCAGAUUUGGAUACUCAGAUCCCGGAGAAAUGGCUUGAGAAAGACAUGUUGAAGAGGAAAAAUACGUUAAGGCUUGCCAAUCAGCUGACUGCAGCAGCAGCAGCAGCAGCAGCAGCAGCAGUGAUGCACAGAUCUGAUCUGCGUUGGCAAUAUACUUGUAAUUCGGACAUGCAUCUCCAGGACACCAGCCUUAGCAGGAAGGGGAGCCAAUCAAGGGGAAACAAUUAUGCAAAUUUAAAAUGUAAACUCUCUGGAGCCCCUGCCACAACCUGAUCUCUAUAAGAAUCAUGAUGUUUCCAAGGCAGCACAUGGUUUGGGGAAAUUGGAGAGAAUACUCCCGAUGGAAAGGGAUAACAUCACAGCUGCCACAACAAUGCUAUCCAGUGAGCAAAUGUCGGAUGUUCAGAGGGACCAAGUCAUCUUGAUUAGAAUCGUGGAGGUUCAAGGAAGACAUGUACAGAAUAUCACCAGUGGGAAUCUACUGUGGAAAAUUGAGUACAACACUAUCAUCAUAUGAUUUGUUUUGCUCAUAUUUGGCUGUGCCAUUGGCUGCGGAGCCAGGCAGCGAACUCCACACAAUGAGGAGCCUGUGAAAACGCAGAGAAGGCAAGAAAGGAUGCAAACAUUUAGGCAGCAUCUGAUGGUAGCUGGCUUGUGGUUUACCUGGCCUUUGGUUAGAUAACUGUGCCUGAUCCCUAUGGCCAGGAAGGAAGACAGUGCUAAUGAAAAUGAAGAUCUGUACAACAAAAGUACAGGCCUACCUCAGAGAUAUUGGAGUGUUCAGUUCCAGACCACGCAAUAAAGUGAAUAUCACAAUGAAGAGCUGAAGAAUUCACAUUUGGGCUGAUGGGCCUGGGGUAGGGAUGACCAACAGACCACAUGCUUCUUGUCUCUUCUACUCCCUGAUCCUCUGAUAGACAGGGCUAAGUGAUCAUCCACUCCUUCCACCCUCCAGCCUCCGAGUGGGCCACUUUUCAAGCAUGGAAUUCCAGGGAGCCCUGGAAUCCUGUGGAUACCGAGGGACGAUUGUACAUUUUGAGAACCGAAGCCCGGUGCUACCCUGUUGCAGCGAUGAAGUAUCCAGGUCACCUGGAGAAAGCUGACAUAAGAGCAGGCACACAGCAGGAAGCUUUGAUCCUCAUCUUCUCUCUGGCUGCAGCCCUCAGCUCUUGUGCACCAACUCUGACCAAUGACUAGGACUGGCUGCUCGGAGUACAGCUGUAUUGAGAAAGAUUCUGAGGCUGGGUCUGCAUUCAGCAGGAAAAAAAAUGAAGUAAUUGUUUGGUAAUGCCUGACAUAGGCCUAAGAAUGGGGGAAACGGUAACCCUCCUGCCAGGUUUUGUAGAAUUUUCUCUAAUUCAUUUUCUUUAGAGAUACGGUAAGGACCCGCCCCCACCCAAAUGGGUAAAAGGCAAAGCCUGGUUUCCAUUUUUUUGUAAAGCCUCAGAUCACAGGGGCACCUGAGCCAUUAGUGUCCCAAUGGCAGGGCAAGGCAGGCAUGUCUAUAAAUCUCCAGUUUUUUGUUUGCUUAUUUUCUUCUUUAAACUGCUUACAAUUUCUCCUCUUUCAUCCUCAUUUCCACAGGAGGUGUAACACUAUGGACGAGUGGGCAACUGGCUCUUCAGGCUUGGAACCAAGAGGGGGCAGCAGAGAGCAGAGAAGAAUUGGUUGGCUUGGGCUGACCCAGACCUAGGAAAACUUCCAAUCUUCUUCUUCUUCCCUCAAAACCGAAUCCUUGUGGACUCACUCUUGAGACUAUUGUCCACACAAGUGGUGUGGUCCAAGGCCACAGCAAGAAAGGUCUGAGGGAGUUCUUUGGGGUUCAGGUGGAGAAAAGCCUGUGCUGGAUGCCAGGCUGCUCUGAGAACAGGAAGGAAGAUAAUAAUGUUAACAGCAACAGUUACAAUUACCCAGCCCCUGUAGGGUGCCAGGCCCUCUGCCAAGGUGCUUUCUUUUCAUUCUCUCAAAGACUACUUGAGGUGGGGAAACCCCCAGUUUACAGAUGAGAAAACAGGGUCCCAGAGUGGUUAAAUACCUUGCCCAUGAUCACGUGACUAAGGGAGGGCCAAGCCACAUUUUAGACUCUUGCCUGUCCUGCCCUCUGUGUUAUGGUGCCCUUCCAGGAAGGAGGCAGAAAGGUGCACCUGGAGUUAGAAUAUCCUUGGGGAGUGUCCCGGACCCAAGGGAAGGCAAACGGUCCUUCUGGUACAGACUGCUGUCUCCUGAUGGCCACGGGUCUCCUGACAGAUUUAGCCAAUUCACUGGCUCACAGGUCCAUGCACCAUCCUCAGCAGAGCCGGGGUAAGGUAGCUGGGCUCGAACAGCCCCAGAAAAAGGCAAAAAGAAAGAUAACAGAAACUUGUAUGGAACUUUCAAGUACUCACUGUGGAAGUCAUUGAUUUAUCUGCCUACUGUGAGAGUUAUGUCACGUUGGAAGGUCACAUUAGAACGCCCCUCACCUCCUGCAGCCUCAGCUCCACCCUGGGCUCAGAGAUCAAUCCUUGCCUUAUUUAGGGAAGCACAUCCAAGCAUAUUUGAAACUUUUGGGAUGGGCUUGGGGAUACUGGCACCAGGGACAUCUUGCUGUCAGUACUGUCCUGAUUCUGAGAACUCCACUAACGCCACAUUCCUCAAUCCAAGCCUGGAUCUGGGACUCAGGCUGCUGCCUCACUAAAUGCCUUAUCUUUUGGGUCACUGCAGACCAGGGCCCUGCCUUCUUUAGCCAAUGUCUGUUUCCCUCAUCUGGCAGUAGGACAUCAGUCUACCAAAAGAGUCACAUGUUCAUAUCCCAGCUUAGGUCCAAGUUGUGAACCAACUUCAUUUCUUAAUGUAAUCACUUUUUUGGUAUUGCUUUUUUUCUCUAAAAAGUAUGUAUAUUUUCUGAUCCUACAUGUAAUAUUUUCUGGGCCAGUUGCAGUGGCACACACCUGAGCUACUCAAGGAAGCUGAGGCGGGAGGAUCCCUUGAGCCCAGG